ensembl:lncRNA
GCUCAGGAAAGUGUGAGAAGGCCCUGAGUUCUCACCUCUGGCUGACCUUGAGGCUAGUGAAGGUUAAUGCAGAGUUGUAAACUGGCUGGUUGAAUGAUGAAAACAUGCCCCAACAUACACACAGAGCCUCUCAGAAAUGACUGAGACAUUUAUUUGUUCCAGACAUUUAAGGAAAUCUCUGUUCAUCAUUAGCUGGCCACUAAGCUGACUGAGCUGAGACUUCAGUGGCUAUACACAAAAAAGAAUAGAGUCUUUACAGAAUGGUUUCGGGAAAGUCCUGAACAAACAAUAACUACAAGAAGCAGCAACAACAAAGGCUGGCAGGAGGGAAAUCUAACUUCCAGAGUAGCCUCAUUAUAAUAUUCAAAAUGUCCAGUUUUUAACAAAAUUUUAUGACGUAUGCAAAGAAUCAAGAAAGUAUGGUCCAUAUACAGGGAGGAAAAAGCAAUCAAUGCAGCUGUCCUCAAGGAAGUGUAGGCUUUGGGAUUACUAGGCAAAGACUUUAGAUCAGAUGUUUUAGUAUGUCCCAAGAAGCGAAGGGAAACAAUGUCUAAAAUCUAAAGGAAAGAUUCCACUCCAACAUGUAAACAGCUUGCAAGUCAUCACUCCCAUCCUCACAACAAGAAAAAAUAUGAACAGAUAAAAAAUCAAUGACUUUUCUUGGAUGCAUCAGGGAAUUGAGGUCAACAGACAAAUUGCAACCCCAAAAUUGGAGAAAAAUGCAAUUAUAGAGGUUACAGAUUAUAGCAAAUACUGUACGCCUGAGGCAGAAACUGCUGGAGUCCAUAACCAGGACUUCAAUGGUAACUUCAGUGAAUUGCUAGUGGCUGAGUGUGGAUAGCUUGAGAGUUAAAAACUCCUGGGGGGUGGGGGGGCUGGCCCCGUGGCCGAGUGGUUAAGUUCGCGCCUUCCGGUGCAGGCGGCCCAGUGUUUCGUUGGUUCGAAUUCUGGGCACGGACAUGGCACUGCUCAUCAGACCACGCUGAGGCAGCAUCCCACAUGCCACAACUAGAAGGACCCACAACGAAGAAUAUACAACUAUGUACUGGGGGGCUUUGGGGAGAAAAAGGAAAAAAAAAUAAUAAUAAUAAAAUCUUUAAAAAAAAAAAAAAAACAACUCCUGGGGGCCUAAUCUAAGGGAGUCCCAGCUGCACACAAUCAUGGCGUUUACCCCUAGGAUCCUCAAUAGAUUUUCUUGGCAAAAAUCAGAGAAAAAUUGCCUCCUGUUUGGCCAGGGAGAGGCGAGAAGCAAGCAUUUUGAAAUAAGCUAGGAGCAUUCUCCCCAACAUAGGCCUACCCAGCAAGGGAGAAGACUUUACUAGAGCUUUAUUGGACUUGAGGUAAGGGAAAUUACCAAACUUCAAAUGCUCUAGCCUUCCCCCUUCACAUAAGGGGGAAGAAAGCUGAGAAGCACUUGUGAAGGUCACAGCCCAGGGGGACACUAAAAGACUGAGACCUAACCGCAGGAUUAUAGAUUGCUUUUCCUCAACCCAGUCUUGACCGAACAUCAAUAGGGCUCCUGUAUAAUAUCUGUGGAUUACAGCUGAGAGAACUGCAAGGCUCAAACUCUAUUUAAGAUGGGAUUUCUAUGGAAAACCAAAUAUGUCAGGGGACAGAAAAAAAGACACUAGCGGAAAAUGAAUCCUCUGAUACUACAGAUACAGAAAACAGUAAACACAGCAUAUCUCACAGCCAAAUAAAAAUAAAAUGUCACACUAAAGGCUUAUGUACUUCCCAAUACUUGAUAAUUCAGGACUGUCUUUCAACACAAAAAAUACAUGGCAUGAUAAAAGGAAAGAAGAAACAAUCUGAAAAGACAAAGCAAGUGUCAGAACCAGAUUUUGAUAUGGCAGAGAUUUUGAAAUUAUCAGACUGGGAAUUAAAAAUACGUGUGAUUAAGUGGAAAAAGUGGACAACGUGCAAGAACAGAUAAAUAAUGUAAAUAGAGAGUAGAAACUCUAAGAAAGAAUACAAAGGAAAUACUAGAAAUAAAAAACACUGACAGAAAUAAAGAAUACCUUUGACAGACCCAUCAGAUGAUUGGAAAGGGCUGGAGUUAGAAUCAGAGAACUUGAAGAUAAUGUCAAUAGAAACUUCCCAACCUGAAAAGUAAGGAGAAAAAUUAAUGAAUAAAAAAUGGAAUAGAAUAUCUAAAAAUGGUAGGACAAUUACAAAAGGUUUAGCAUAUGCAUAAUGGGACUGCCAAAAACAAAAGAAAGAGAGAAAGAAACAGAGGAAAUAUUUGAAGUUAUAAUGGCUGGGAUUUUUCUAAAAUUAAUGACAGAAACCACAUCACAAAUCUAGGAAGCUCAGAGAACACCAAGCAGGAUAAAUAACAAAAAACAUACAUACACUGACGCAUGUUAUAUUCAAAUUACAGAAAACCAAAGACAAACAGAAAAUCUUGAAAGAAGUCAGAGAAUAAAAGCACAGCACCUAGAGAGGAACAAAGAUGAGAAUUAUUACCAGACUUAGCUUCAGAAAUCACGCAAGCAAGAAGAGAGUAGAAUGAAAUGUUACUGUUUUGAAAGAAAAAACUCCACCAACCUUGGAGUCUAUAUACAGGAAAAUCACCCUUCAAAAGUAAAGGGAAAAUAAAGACUUUCUUGUAAUUGACAGAUCCAGUAAGCAGAAAAUCAGUCUGGAUAUAGUUGAACUAAACAGAAC